rnacentral:rRNA from 1 species
UACAGAGGUCCCGAGCGUUGUUCGGAUUCAUUGGGCGUAAAGGGUGCGUAGGCGGCGGGGAAAGUCUGAUGUGAAAUCCUGGGGCUCAACCCUGGAACUGCAUGGAUACUUCCUUGCUAGAGUACUGGAGAGGAAACUGGAAUUUACGGUGUAGCAGUGAAAUGCGUAGAGAUCGUAAGGAAGACCAGUGGCGAAGGCGAGUUUCUGGACAGUUACUGACGCUGAGGCACGAAGGCCAGGGGAGCAAACGGG